rnacentral:rRNA from 1 species
UACGUAGGGUCCGAGCGUUGUCCGGAAUUACUGGGCGUAAAGAGCUCGUAGGUGGUUUGUCGCGUUGUUCGUGAAAACUCACAGCUUAACUGUGGGCGUGCGGGCGAUACGGGCAGACUUGAGUACUGCAGGGGAGACUGGAAUUCCUGGUGUAGCGGUGGAAUGCGCAGAUAUCAGGAGGAACACCGGUGGCGAAGGCGGGUCUCUGG